ACACUCCUACGGGAGGCAGCAGUGGGGAAUUUUGGACAAUGGGCGAAAGCCUGAUCCAGCCAUGCCGUGUGCAGGAUGAAGGCCUUCGGGUUGUAAACUGCUUUUGUACGGAACGAAACGGCCUUUUCUAAUAAAGAGGGCUAAUGACGGUACCGUAAGAAUAAGCACCGGCUAACUACGUGCCAGCAGCCGCGGUAAUACGUAGGGUGCAAGCGUUAAUCGGAAUUACUGGGCGUAAAGCGUGCGCAGGCGGUUAUGUAAGACAGUUGUGAAAUCCCCGGGCUCAACCUGGGAACUGCAUCUGUGACUGCAUAGCUAGAGUACGGUAGAGGGGGAUGGAAUUCCGCGUGUAGCAGUGAAAUGCGUAGAUAUGCGGAGGAACACCGAUGGCGAAGGCAAUCCCCUGGACCUGUACUGACGCUCAUGCACGAAAGCGUGGGGAGCAAACAGGAUUAGAUACCCCUGUAGUCCCAUG
rnacentral:rRNA from 1 species